rnacentral:lncRNA from 1 species
GGGGAAGUCAUUUUAGGCGCGAUUGAAUUGGAAAAACACCAGUUUAAACAAAAAAUUAUGAGGAGGACGAAGCACUUUCAUUACUUGAAGCUAUGUAAAAGCUAAAACAACAAUCCCAGGCGAGAAGUUUCACAUGAAUGAACGAAAAAUAGACGUGCGGAAUCCUAAACUAAAUAAACAAAAGAUCGGCUAAGUGCACACUAGAAGCAAAAAUGAAUAAUAAAUGAAAAUACAAUAUACAUUCAUAUCAUAUUAAGCAGAACUAAAACAAAAGAGAGAAG